rnacentral:rRNA from 1 species
GUUGCAUGGCUGUCGUCAGCUCGUGACGUGAGUUGUUCUCUUAAGUGAGGUAACGAGCGCAACCCCCGUUCUGUGUUAUUGUGUCACAGAAGACUGCCUAGCAUUAUUUUGUUAGGAGGAAGGAGGGGACGACGUCAAGUCAUCAUGAUGCUUAUAUCCAGGGCUACACACAUCCUACAAUGGGCUAUAACAGAGGGUUGCAAGACCGCAAGGUGGAGCUAAUCCCUAAACUAGCCCUCAGUUGGGAUUGCGGGCUGAAACUCGCCCGCAUGAACCCGGAAUUGGUAGUAAUCGCACAUCAGCAGCGUGCGGUGAAUACGUUCUCGCCUCUU